UAAGGAAUAUUGGUCAAUGGACGAGAGUCUGAACCAGCCAUGCCGCGUGAAGGAUGAAGGUCCUCUGGAUUGUAAACUUCUUUUAUAGGGGACGAAAAAAGGGAAUUCUUUCUCACUUGACGGUACCCUAGGAAUAAGCACCGGCUAACUCCGUGCCAGCAGCCGCGGUAAUACGGAGGGUGCAAGCGUUAUCCGGAUUCACUGGGUUUAAAGGGAGCGUAGGUGGGCAGGUAAGUCAGUGGUGAAAUCUCCGGGCUUAACCCGGAAACUGCCAUUGAUACUAUCUGUCUUGAAUAUUCUGGAGGUAAGCGGAAUAUGUCAUGUAGCGGUGAAAUGCUUAGAUAUGACAUAGAACACCAAUUGCGUAGGCAGCUUACUACGGAACUAUUGACACUGAGGCUCGAAAGCGUGGGGAUCAAACAG
rnacentral:rRNA from 1 species